AGUGAACGCUGGCGGUAGGCCUAACACAUGCAAGUCGAACGGCAGCACAGUAAGAGCUUGCUCUUACGGGUGGCGAGUGGCGGACGGGUGAGGAAUACAUCGGAAUCUACUUUUUCGUGGGGGAUAACGUAGGGAAACUUACGCUAAUACCUCAUACGACCUACGGGUGAAAGCAGGGGAUCUUCGGACCUUGCGCGAUUGAAUGAGCCGAUGUCGGAUUAGCUAGUUGGCGGGGUAAAGGCCCACCAAGGCGACGAUCCGUAGCUGGUCUGAGAGGAUGAUCAGCCACACUGGAACUGAGACACGGUCCAGACUCCUACGGGAGGCAGCAGUGGGGAAUAUUGGACAAUGGGCGCAAGCCUGAUCCAGCCGUACCGCGUGGGUGAAGAAGGCCUUCGGGUUGUAAAGCCCUUUUGUUGGGAAAGAAAAGCGGCAGGUUAAUACCCCGCUGUUCUGACGGUACCCAAAGAAUAAGCACCGGCUAACUUCGUG
rnacentral:rRNA from 1 species